UACAGAGGUCUCAAGCGUUGUUCGGAUUCAUUGGGCGUAAAGGGUGCGUAGGCGGCGCGGUAAGUCGGGUGUGAAAUCUUGGAGCUUAACUCCGAAACUGCAUUCGAUACUGCCGUGCUUGAGGACUGGAGAGGAGACUGGAAUUUACGAUGUAGCGGUGAAAUGCGUAGAUAUCGUAAGGAAGACCAGUGGCGAAGGCGGGUCUCUGGACAGUUCCUGACGCUG
rnacentral:rRNA from 1 species